GAUGAACGCUGGCGGCGUGCUUAACACAUGCAAGUCGAACGGAAAGGCUCCUGCUUGCAGGGGUACUCGAGUGGCGAACGGGUGAGUAACACGUGGGUGAUCUGCCCUGCACUUCGGGAUAAGCCUGGGAAACUGGGUCUAAUACCGGAUAGGACGAUGGUUUGGAUGCCAUUGUGGAAAGUUUUCGGUGUGGGAUGAGCUCGCGGCCUAUCAGCUUGUUGGUGGGGUAAUGGCCUACCAAGGCGUCGACGGGUAGCCGGCCUGAGAGGGUGUACGGCCACAUUGGGACUGAGAUACGGCCCAGACUCCUACGGGAGGCAGCAGUGGGGAAUAUUGCACAAUGGGCGCAAGCCUGAUGCAGCGACGCCGCGUGGGGGAUGACGGCCUUCGGGUUGUAAACUCCUUUCGCUAGGGACGAAGCGCAAGUGACGGUACCUGGAGAAGAAGCACCGGCUAACUACGUG
rnacentral:rRNA from 1 species